GACGAACCGUGCGAACGUUGUUCGGAAUCACUGGGCUUAAAGGGCGCGUAGGCGGGCAGGCAAGUCAGGGGUGAAAGCCCACGGCUCAACCGUGGAAGUGCCUUUGAUACUGCUUGUCUUGAGGGAGGUAGGGGCGUGCGGAACUUCCGGUGGAGCGGUGAAAUGCGUAGAUAUCGGAAGGAACACCGGUGGCGAAAGCGGCGCGCUGGACCUCUACUGACGCUGAGGCGCGAAAGCCAGGGGAGCAAACGGG
rnacentral:rRNA from 1 species